rnacentral:rRNA from 1 species
AUUGAACGCUGGCGGCAGGCCUAACACAUGCGAGUCGAGCGGAUGAAGGGAGCUUGCUCCUGGAUUCAGCGGCGGACGGGUGAGUAAUGCCUAGGAAUCUGCCUGGUAGUGGGGGAUAACGUCCGGAAACGGGCGCUAAUACCGCAUACGUCCUGAGGGAGAAAGUGGGGGAUCUUCGGACCUCACGCUAUCAGAUGAGCCUAGGUCGGAUUAGCUAGUUGGGGGGGUAAAGGCCUACCAAGGCGACGAUCCGUAACUGGUCUGAGAGGAUGAUCAGUCACACUGGAACUGAGACACGGUCCAGACUCCUACGGGAGGCAGCAGUGGGGAAUAUUGGACAAUGGGCGAAAGCCUGAUCCAGCCAUGCCGCGUGUGUGAAGAAGGUCUUCGGAUUGUAAAGCACUUUAAGUUGGGAGGAAGGGCAGUAAGUUAAUACCUUGCUGUUUUGACGGUACCAACAGAAUAAGCACCGGCUAACUUCGUG